AUGAUUCUAUGGUCGGCGGCAAGGGCGACGACCGUUAUUGGGUCGAUAGCGCCUUAGAUCAUGUCUACGAGUAUCUUA
rnacentral:tRNA from 1 species